CUCGUAGGCGGUUUGUCGCGUCUGCUGUGAAAUCCCGAGGCUCAACCUCGGGCCUGCAGUGGGUACGGGCAAACUAGAGUGCGGUAGGGGAGAUUGGAACUCCUGGUGUAGCGGUGGAAUGCGCAGAUAUCAGGAAGAACACCGAUGGCGAAGGCAGAUCUCUGGGCCGUUACUGACGCUGAGGAGCGAAAGCGUGGGGAGCAAAACA
rnacentral:rRNA from 1 species